GACCACACAGCCCAGUGGUUAGAGCGACCGGUAUAUGUCCAGGAGGUCCUGGGUUCAAUCCCUAGUCUGGUCA